rnacentral:misc_RNA from 1 species
GUGAGCCGUGAGGGGUUCUCGUCUGUAGUGGACUAGGGCCGGGUGCACAACAACANGCAAUCGCCAGACACACUAUUGGGCCCUGAGACAACACUCGGCCGACUUCGGUUGAAGUGGUGUCCCUCCAUCUUGGUGGUGGGGUGUGGUGUUUGAGUAUUGGAUAG